rnacentral:rRNA from 1 species
GCGCCGUAUUAGCUAGUUGGUGGGGUAACGGCCUACCAAGGCGACGAUACGUAGCCGACCUGAGAGGGUGAUCGGCCACACUGGAACUGAGACACGGUCCAGACUCCUACGGGAGGCAGCAGUAGGGAAUCUUCCGCAAUGGGCGAAAGCCUGACGGAGCAACGCCGCGUGAGUGAUGAAGGUCUUCGGAUCGUAAAGCUCUGUUGUUAGGGAAGAACAAAUGUGUAAGUAACUGUGCACAUCUUGACGGUACCUAACCAGAAAGCCACGGCUAACUACGUGCCAGCAGCCGCGGUAAUACGUAGGUGGCAAGCGUUAUCCGGAAUUAUUGGGCGUAAAGCGCGCGUAGGCGGUUUUUUAAGUCUGAUGUGAAAGCCCACGGCUCAACCGUGGAGGGUCAUUGGAAACUGGAAAACUUGAGUGCAGAAGAGGAAAGUGGAAUUCCAUGUGUAGCGGUGAAAUGCGCAGAGAUAUGGAGGAACACCAGUGGCGAAGGCGGCUUUCUGGUCUGCAACUGACGCUGAUGUGCGAAAGCGUGGGGAUCAAACAGGAUUAGAUACCCUGGUAGUCCACGCCGUAAACGAUGAGUGCUAAGUGUUAGGGGGUUUCCGCCCCUUAGUGCUGCAGCUAACGCAUUAAGCACUCCGCCUGGGGAGUACGGUCGCAAGACUGAAACUCAAAGGAAUUGACGGGGACCCGCACAAGCGGUGGAGCAUGUGGUUUAAUUCGAAGCAACGCGAAGAACCUUACCAAAUCUUGACAUCCUUUGACCGCUCUAGAGAUAGAGUUUUCCUCUUCGGAGGACAAAGUGACAGGUGGUGCAUGGUUGUCGUCAGCUCGUGUCGUGAGAUGUUGGGUUAAGUCCCGCAACGAGCGCAACCCUUGAACUUAGUUGCCAUCAUUCAGUUGGGCACUCUAAGUUGACUGCCGGUGACAAACCGGAGGAAGGUGGGGAUGACGUCAAAUCAUCAUGCCCCUUAUGAUUUGGGCUACACACGUGCUACAAUGGACAAUACAAAGGGCAGCGAAACCGCGAGGUCAAGCAAAUCCCAUAAAGUUGUUCUCAGUUCGGAUUGUAGUCUGCAACUCGACUACAUGAAGCUGGAAUCGCUAGUAAUCGUAGAUCAGCAUGCUACGGUGAAUACGUUCCCGGGUCUUGUACACACCGCCCGUCACACCACGAGAGUUUGUAACACCCGAAGCCGGUGGAGUAACCAUUUUGGAGCUAGCCGUCGAAGGUGGGACAAAUGAUUGGGGUGAAGUCGUAACAAGGUAGCCGUAUCGGAAGGUGCGGCUGGAUCACCUCCUUUC